GCCAGCAGCAAUUUCACUCUGCAACUCACCACUGGCAAUUCACUAAAGCUAAGCAGGUGUGAGCCUGGUCGGUACCUGGAUGGGAGACCUCCUGGGAAAAACUAAGGUUGCUGCUGGAA
rfam:Lepisosteus oculatus linkage group LG1, whole genome shotgun sequence.